AUGGGGAGAUUCAUCGGCAACGGUGCUGGCUCCCGUUGGUGCGCGAUGCUCCGGAUGAAUCCUCGUGGUUCAUCGGCGAGGGCACACCACCUUCGGCUUGAACGUUCCGGCAUCGUAGUCGUGCACUUCUCCCCUAGUAGAACGUCGCGACCCGUUGUGUGUCGGUCUACGGCCCGAGAGGGCGCCUGUCGCGUCGCUUCGCGCGCACGCGGCAGACCCUCGGUCGCCUGGCCGGCUGCACGACGGUACUCGCACGGUAUCGGGCCGCAACCAAUCCAUUUUUUCGAAUGUGUGUGCGUCAGGCCCGCCGCAAGCUCGGUCAGUUCUUACCCGGAGGUACGGACCUGGUGCCGUCCCCGGGCCUGGCCAGCUGUUAGCAGGCGGUGUCCUUGGACUGGCCAAGACUCGAAUUACCGGUCGGCGACGCUAUUGCUUUGGGUACUCUCAGGACCCGUCUUGAAACACGGACCAAGGAGUCUAACAUGUGCGCGAGUCAUUGGGAUGCAAAAACCUAAAGGCGAAAUGAAAGUGAAGAUCGGACUUUGUGCCGAUCGAGGGGAAGAUGGGCCGCGUUACUAUGCGGCCCCGCACUCCCGGGGCGUCUCGUUCUCAUUGCGAGAAGAGGCGC
rnacentral:rRNA from 1 species